rnacentral:tRNA from 1 species
GCGGGAAUAGCUCAGUUGGUAGAGCACGACCUUGCCAAGGUCGGGGUCGCGAGUUCGAGCCUCGUUUCCCACUCCA